AUCAGUUGGAAGGACCAGAAUGAUCAAGAGAGAGAGAGAGAAAGAGAACCAGAGUUCUCCGACCCGGGACACGACCCGCGACUGGGCCUGACCGGAAAACGCUUCCCCGGCCAGUUCUCCGCUGCGGACCACCGGGAAAACCCUCGUCUCGUCGGAUUGUACGUGCAAUGGCGGGGAACGGAGCUGUCUCCGGCGAGUUUCUGCAAUUUCCGACCACCGCCUGGGCCGCAUUUGCUAGUGUUCGACGCUGUCACCGUCGCCCGCGACAUUUCCGACUCUUCUCGGUUCGCUUUGGGCUUGGCUUCUGGUUCGACUGCAUCUACAGAAGCGCAAGGACUCUUAUCUUGAAAUUUAGGGUCGGGUUGUACUUUAUCAGUGUCGAGCUUCGUCGAGGUUCCGGAAAACAUUGAGGAUCAAAAUAAGAUGCGUGUAUAGUCGAGUUCUCAGAAGGGGCUGCAAGUUUGGAGAUAGGAGCUUAAGGUCCAACCAGCAUAUAAUACUUCCUGAGGGUAAACUCGAAGUUUGUAUAUCUUGGUUGAUUGUUGGGAUGGUUUCGAACGUGAUCAGGAUGUUGAAAUGGUUGUGUAUCGAUGUUAAGGAGAAGGAAAUACGUUUUGGGUGCCCUUAGUAGUUUGGGCACACCUUGUUUGAGAUUGAUAUUGUAUUGUAUUGUUAUGUUUGAUUUGUGGCUAUUGUUAGUUAAGAAGUAAAAGUACGUAAAUUAUGAGUUGGUGUGAUGUUGAAUGCUUAGAAGUGAACUGAAACUGUGCUAAGAGAUGGGUAAAGUUAUGUGACGAAUUGUCAAGUAAUUGGAAAUUGUUUGUUAACGAAA